CCUACGGGUGGCAGCAGUCGAGAAUCAUUCACAAUGGGGGCAACCCUGAUGGUGCGACGCCGCGUGGGGGAAUGAAGGUCUUCGGAUUGUAAACCCCUGUCAUGUGGGCGCAAAUUAAAAAGAUAGCACCACAAGAGGAAGAGACGGCAAACUCUGUGCCAGCAGCCGCGGUAAUACAGAGGUCUCAAGCGUUGUUCGGAAUCACUGGGCGUAAGGCGUGCGUAGGCUGUUUCGUAAGUCGUGUGUGAAAGGCGCGGGCUCAACCCGCGGACCGCACAUGAUACUGCGAGACUAGAGUAAUGGAGGGGGAACCGGAAUUCUCGGUGUAGCAGUGAAAUGCGUAGAUAUCGAGAGGAACACUCGUGGCGAAGGCGGGUUCCUGGACAUUAACUGACGCUGAGGCACGAAGGCGAGGGGAGCGAAAGGGAUUAGAUACCCCUGUAGUC
rnacentral:rRNA from 1 species